AACCUCUCAUAAAUACUGAGUCCAAAUUCGAUGGGCAAUCAGGCAUCAGAAUUCAUCGAUAUGUAACCCUGAUCGAAAAGUCCCAACCAGUGGGACUCUUGACCCCGGUACCCAUAAUGUGUGGAACUCGUGAUCAGAGAAUCCUGAUUCUCGAUCACUGAGUCUCAGACAUAUAAGAUUCUACAUCAGCCAUCAGAUCAGAUAGGAACCUCUAAUGUGUGUGACCCCGUAGGUUCGAACCUAAGCCGGUAGCACAGGAACCAAUUCCUGUACUAAUCGAAGUGACCAUCUAGCAAUGGUACUCGACGUCCGGAUAGGUCGAAGAGUCGCAAUCGCAACACUCAGAACCUACAUGAAUAUGGUUACUGUAUAAUUCAUCCUUUUGACCCUUGUGUUUAGAACGACUCAGGGUUAAACUGUCAACCCUGAUCAGAUCAUCCGAAUCGUGCUCAACUCAAACAGUCCUGUGACUCCUCACAAGGACUACCCUGGCCAAGGUUUUGCUAAAUUGAAACACGACUGUACACAGCUCCUAAACUGGAGUGGUCAAUCCCAUCUUGACACACACACUGACAAGUCAAGUACUUGACUACACCCAGCAACCUUCCGUCACUGAAUUAGAAAUUCAGGUAGUCCAGUGCCUAUGUGCAGUGAGUUGCUUGCAA
rnacentral:lncRNA from 1 species